UACGGGGGGGGCAAGCGUUGUUCGGAAUUACUGGGCGUAAAGGGCUCGUAGGCGGCCAACUAAGUCAGACGUGAAAUCCCCAGGCUCAACCUGGGAACUGCGUCUGAUAUUGGAUGGCUUGAAUCCGGGAGAGGGAUGCAGAAUUCCAGGUGUAGCGGUGAAAUGCGUAGAUAUCUGGAGGAAUACCGGUGGCGAAGGCGGCAUCCUGGACCGGCAUUGACGCUGAGGAGCGAAAGCUAGGGGAGCAAACGGG
rnacentral:rRNA from 1 species